rnacentral:rRNA from 1 species
UGCAGUCGUACGGGAUCCGAAAUAGCAAUAUUUUGGUGAGAGUGGCGCACGGGUGCGUAACACGUAUGCAACCUACCUUUAACCGGGACACAACCUCGAGAAAUUGUGGCUAAUAUCCCAUAACACUGCGAAGUGGCAUCACUUUGCAGUUAAAACUCCGGUGGUUAUAGAUGGGCAUGCGCGACAUUAGCUAGUUGGUGAGGUAACGGCCCACCAAGGCUACGAUGUCUAGGGGUUCUGAGAGGAUUAUCCCCCACACUGGUACUGAGACACGGACCAGACUCCUACGGGAGGCAGCAGUAAGGAAUAUUGGUCAAUGGGCGCAAGCCUGAACCAGCCAUGCCGCGUGAAGGAUGACGGCCCUAUGGGUUGUAAACUUCUUUUGUACGGGAAAAAACCACCGGUCGUGUAUCGGUGCUGAUGGUACCGUAAGAAUAAGCAUCGGCUAACUCCGUGCCAGCAGCCGCGGUAAUGCGGAGGAUGCAAGCGUUAUCCGGAUUCAUUGGGUUUAAAGGGUGCGCAGGCGGAGUGAUAAGUCAGUGGUGAAAGCCUACAGCUUAACUGUAGAACUGCCAUUGAUACUGUCAUUCUUGAGUAUUGUUGAGGUAGGCGGAAUGUGUCAUGUAGCGGUGAAAUGCUUAGAUAUGGCACAGAACACCGAUCGCGAAGGCAGCUUACCAAGCAAUAACUGACGCUCAUGCACGAAAGCGUGGGGAUCAAACAGGAUUAGAUACCCUGGUAGUCCA